rnacentral:rRNA from 1 species
UACGAAGGGGGCUAGCGUUGUUCGGAAUCACUGGGCGUAAAGCGCACGUAGGCGGCUUGUUAAGUCGGGGGUGAAAUCCUGAGGCUCAACCUCAGAACUGCCUUCGAUACUGGCAAUCUCGAGUCCGGAAGAGGUUGGUGGAACAGCUAGUGUAGAGGUGAAAUUCGUAGAUAUUAGCUAGAACACCAGUGGCGAAGGCGGCCAACUGGUUCGGUACUGACGCUGAGGUGCGAAAGCGUGGGGAGCAAACAGG